rnacentral:tRNA from 1 species
GGCCUUAUGGUCCAAAAGGAUUACGACCUAACAACUUCACUGUUAAAAUGCUGGUUCGAUUCCAGCUGAGGCCC